UACGUAGGGCGCAAGCGUUGUCCGGAAUUAUUGGGCGUAAAGAGCUCGUAGGCGGCCUGUUGCGUCCGUUGUGAAAGCCCCGGGCUCAACCUGGGAAUGGCAGUGGAAACUAGGGGACUGGAAUCUGGCAGAGGGGGGUGGAAUGCCGCGUGUAGCAGUGAAAUGCGUAGAGAUGCGGCGGAACACCGAUGGCGAAGGCAGCCCCCUGGGCUGAGAUUGACGCUCAGGCACGAAAGCGUGGGGAGCAAACAGG
rnacentral:rRNA from 1 species